CGUAAGACGACAUUUGCUAGCCUCACACUACCCUUUUUGGAACCCUCGAGUAGUCAUGUGGAAGAAACAAACGAAAAGAAAGGAGAAAGGCUUGCUGUUGCCAAGGCCUAUUCCUCGACCAUCAUCACCUAUUCAAUAAGUUGGGAGUCCCCGCCAUGUAAACCCAUAUCCCAUGGAAGAAUCGAAUCAAUACCGACUAUUUCUUGAGCAUCCCGAAGAGUGACGAGAAGACCACACUUUACAUCUUUCUUUCAAAAGAGGAGAACGCGCUCAUAGAAUAUUAACAAAAAUGAAAGAAAUCCUCGUCCAGUGGCACGUCCUUUAGCUGCUGCGGUCCGGUACGGGGAAAGAAGUUCGGACAUAUUCUGUAUAGGAAGCUCUCCUUGCCUAAAGAAUAGGCGUCUUUCAUACCUUUCCUGGGAACGGGCAAGAAAACAGAUUGGCCUAUGAAUGUGCACCCUCUUUCCUGAUACUAGGGACAUUUGAUUAUUUCUGACCUAUAUUAGAAUAUUACCAAACUGAUCUUAUUCCGCUAAAAGAGCAAAGAUAAAAGCCCUCUUAUGCCGGAAAAUGAAUAAAGAAAGUGUACUUUCACCUCUGGAAUGACAACAUGCGAAAGACACCCACUGGCGUGCUUACGUUCUUUCUUCGCUUCCCAGCCAACAAGCAACUCCUUGAGCUUUAGAAAGCAAGUCGUUGAUUGCCAUCCAUUUUCUUGCUGGAAUCUUUUUAUUAUUCUUAAUAGAACCUGUCCUCCCGGGGCUCAAGGGAGAGGCUUGACUGUCUUUUCUAUAGAGUUGGAGUAGUAGUUGGACAAAAGAACUCUCUGGCCGGAGUCAAACACGUAGUCGUGACCUGUCCCGUCGUUACUCCUCUUUCUAUAUAUGUUUAGGGAGAAAGAAUUAGGCUGCCUAAAAAGAAACUCUAGGUGUUGGAUUGUUUUUCUUUUCUGUUGGUGAGGAAAGGUCGUGCAAUCGUAGAGGACUAGUUCCCUAUCUCGCUGAUAAGAAUAAAAAAGGGAUCGGCCACUCUCACUGGAAGAGCUUAGCUUAUUCAAAAGCAUCCCUGAUGCUCUCUAGUUUAGGAAUAGAGGGUGCCGCAUCCGAGGCAAAGCAAGAGCUAACAACCUUUUUUUUUUCAUCCGUUAAUGCUUCUUCUUUCCAGUCAGUUUAGAUCCUGAGAACAAGUCAAGCUUCAAAUAAGUAGUCCGCUAAGGUAUGUCUAACAAUAGAGUUUCUAGAGGCAAGCCGAAGCGGAGAAUGUUUCUCCUAAAGAGUCUCUUAUAGUAGUCUCUCAAAGCACAAGGAGAAUGGAUCUGACUAAGCAUCUGGUGAGGGAUCCGCUGGAUUAGUAAGCAUCACAUAAGGAGGACGGUGGAGAUCUAAGUUGCUCCUUUCUUCCCCCUUCCCCAGUUCUCUAACUAGUGGUGUAAGCAAGUGCUCCAAUAUGUAAUGGUCUAAGGGCCUUUAAGUUCUAAUCUUACAUACCGUGUCUAAGGUGUGACUUCUUCCAAGAGUGGGAGGGCUCACAGUAAGACUGGGUAGACGGGUAUAGCAGUAAUAGUACUUUCACCCAAUAGGAUAAGGCAAGUCAGUUUGAAAGCAAGGCAAACAACCUUUGCCUCUUGGGCUACGGCUUAGAAACCUUUGCCAAGUUUCCUCAGUUAGAAAGGAAUCAAACUCACUCUCUUUUCUUCUUCAACUCAACCAAGUCCGAUAGAAAACACAUUAAGCUUCGUCUAAUAGGAAGUAGCACCUGCCGCCUUGCAUAGCAUGUCGAGAAUCCUUUUCCUUGUUUCGAAAUACAGAUUGUUGUGGAGAGUCUCAAUUGCGUAAGAGAAAGAAGUUGUUCUUAUAUUGCUAGUCUGUCAGUGAGAAGCUGUGAUCGAGAAAGUCUCGCCCAAAGAAAAGAGCUCUACAGUAGUGCCUUGCGGGGUCGUAGAGCCGGGGGAGCUCAGAUCCGAUUCUUGCAUUCAUCUUAACUGUAGAUUUAGACUUCUUCUUACCCAGUUUGUAAGCAGAGGAGAACAAAUAAGAUAGAAGCCCAUAUUGAAACUAUACUUCCUAACUAGAGUAGUAAGAAGUCUUUUCAGAAGCAGUAGACUGAGAGGCUUUGGCAGAAUUGAUCGAACUUCUUACUCUCAGGGUGCUUCGCUUGAGCUCAACCAUCUGGGAUGCUUGUUUUCUGAGGAUGAUUCUUUUGCGUAAGUAAGGGAAGUGUUGAGCCAGAGUAAAGAUUACCUUUUCAGCAUCGCUGUGAGAGCAUCCGGGUGAAGAAUUUCUGCCAAUUGCAUGCUGAAAUAGUUUCUUAGUGCUUCCCUUUGUUCUUGCAAGAGAUCANGACUGGUAGGCAGGCUAAGGCCAGAGAUUCAAUGCCCGAGGUCUUUCCUCUCCUUAUCAGUCGAGUUACUUCAUAACCUCUUAUUCUGAUUAUAGUUGUCGUAACUCUCUCUAUCUUAGGUGUCGGCAUCACACAUAUCAUAUAGAUAAUGAAUAAGAGAGCUAGGAAGGCUCCUUAAAAAGGAGACUGACAUAGGGAACAUAGACAAGUGAGCGUCGAUGGAUGCUUAAUUCCCCUUAUUUAUUAGGGCACGGACGUCGCUUUUAGUUGUUUUCUUUGUUGCUACCAUUGNNNNN
rnacentral:lncRNA from 1 species